rnacentral:tRNA from 1 species
UGGGUUGUGGCUCAGUGGUAGAGCGCUUGCCUAGCAUGUGGGAGGCCCUGGGUUCAACCCUCAGCACCACAU